CGGUGCCUACGGGAGGCAGCAGUCGGGAAUAUUGCGCAAUGGAGGAAACUCUGACGCACUGACGCCGCGUGCAGGAAGAAGGUUUUCGGAUUGUAAACUGCUUUAGACAGGGAAGAAACAAGACAGUACCUGUAGAAUAAGCUCCGGCUAACUACGUGCCAGCAGCCGCGGUAAUACGUAGGGAGCAAGCGUUAUCCGGAUUUAUUGGGUGUAAAGGGUGCGUAGACGGGAAGGCAAGUUAGUUGUGAAAUCUCUCGGCUUAACUGAGGAACUGCAACUAAAACUAUCUUUCUUGAGGGCUGGAG
rnacentral:rRNA from 1 species